GCAAGAGUAGCCCUGCUGGUUGGUGGCCAGCUCGCGUUGGCAUUGGUGCUGUGGCAGAUGCUCAUUUAAACUUCCACCCUAAAACUCGCUGGAAGAAAACUUACAGCAGUAGGUAGGGGAAGAUGGAAGGAACAGAAUGGGAAAAAAUAGAAGAUGGACUGGAGAUUGAAACAAACUGGCUACGACCAUUUCAGUAAUCCUGGGAGUUAUUGCAAAUAUUUGUCCCAGGAAGACUCAGUGGGAAGUGAACGCCUAGGAGGAGACGUGGGAAGAAGAGGACCAAGACCUUAUGCUGUCAGGAAUGGUUAAUGCUGAGGAAAAAGCAGAUGGAGAUUGUCCUGGUUUUCAGCUGGGAGAAAAGCACCGAUAUGUUUUAGCUGCUUUAGGAAGGGAAAUUGCUGCUAGGUGAGUCAAUCAAAAUUACCUUCAGCCCUGCCAGUGCAAUGCCAGCUCCCUGGAAUGGUGAUGUCGAUUAACUAUGGAUGUUGUCUACCAUUGAUCAUUUUGAUAUGAAAAUCCCAGCUACCUGGGAGUGCACAGGGCUGUGUUUGGGUGAGGUAUUCACCAUCAUUCCCACUGCCCCAUGUGAUCUUGGAUUAACUAAUCUAGUUAGUUUACAGGGUCAAACAUUUUAGUGCAAUGAAAGCUUUGUGAUAGCUUCAUGAUGCAAAUGAAAAAGCUGUUGAUUUCUGAAGCCAAGAGCUAACAAGUGCUACUGGUGACUGAGUCAGGUUUGUUGUAAUCUUUACUUUGAAGAUAUGCUGGAGUUCUCCAAGGUUAAUGAAGCACUUGUGGGGGAGCUUUUCUUCAGACUUUAGCUCUGUUUUAUUUCUUGAUAGAACCAUUAACUUCUACACUAACCUUUCUACUUGUUACUAUUACACACAUUCUGCCCACUAAAGCUUUAUAUUGAUUUUUGGCAGGGAGCACUUAUAAAUUGUAGGUUUAAAUACAUGGGGUUUUGGUUCUGUUAGCACUGGGUAGGAUACAGACAGACAAUGAUUAAUUUGUAGAUUUUUAAUUUCUUUUAGAUAUAUGUUACAGCCACUUUGGCAUCACCACUGUCAUUAGGUUUUGUUUCUUGAAUAAUUUGCUCCAAUUAUUCCAGAUCUUUUUAAUUGCUGUAGUUUCCAGUUAAGAAAGUAAAAUUUACAAGAUAUGAUGAAUAGUGUUCGCAAAAUACAUUGAGAUACUGGAAACUCUUCUGAUCCUUCCAAAUUUAGGACUUCAUCUAUGAAGAAUGGUGUCAGUGGGGCAGAGAACCAACAGUUCUUGCCCUCUGGAAUCUAGCCAUGUAUUAGAAAAUCCAGCAUUCUCCUUUUAACAGGCUAAUCCCCUAUCUCUUAUUUUUAUUUAUGAAGAUUUCAUAUUAAGAUUCCAAAGAAACAUAUUUUUUUCUUUGGUAAAAAAAAGAUGGUAAAUGAAUUAAAAAAACUUUAGGAUUAAUCCUAAAUUUUAUGGGUUUUAAAAAAUUUAUUAUUCUAGUUAAGUUUUGCCUUUUUACUUGAAAAUCUUUUAUAUACCAUUGUGUUGCUUUUGCAUGGCCUGGCUUUUGGUAGUGGGGGAUGGGGAGGACAGAUGUGGCUUCUGUGGGAAGCUGCUGGAAGAUCCCAGCAUGUCCAGCAGAUCCAGUGGCUGAUGGCUCUGAAGAUGGACAUGCUGCUGGCCAAGGCUGGGACAAUUACAAAUGAUGGUAACACCUCUGUGACAACAGAUUUAAGAAGAAAAUCAAAACAAAGUAGUUUUUCACAGAAGUAGUUUUCCUUCCAGCCAGAGGAGAGGAGGAGGUGAGAGCAUGAGGGCAAAACAACAUGGGGACACUACAGUGGAGAAGGAGGGGCAGGAGGUGCUCCAGGAACCCAAGCUGAGAUUCCUCUGCAGCCAUGGUGAGACCAGGCUGAAGCAACUGUGCCCCUGGAGCCCCUGGGGAUGCAGGGGGAUGCACAGAUCCACCCACAGCCCAUGGAGAUCCAUGGGGAUGCAGGGAUCUACUCACAGCCCAUGGGGAAGGUGCCCACACUGGGGUAGGUGGAUGCCUGGAGGAGGAUGUGAUCCAGUGACACUGGAGAAGUUCAGGGAGAACUGUGUCCAUGGGAAGGGACCCCAGGGUGCAGCAGGGGAGGGACUCCUAUCCAUGAGCAGCAGAAGAAAAUCUGGGGUGAUGAACUGACCAAACCCCCCCCCUGCUGUCUCCCUGCUGCCGACAGGAAUAAGAGAGGAGUUGGGGCAAAAAAAAAGUAGUGUUUUAAGGGCUUACUUUUCUUCUUAUUAUCCUCCUCAUGGUUUUGUUAAUAAUAAACUUUGUACUUCUAGGUUGAGCCUCUUUUGCCCUUAGAGUGUUUUCUCCCGGUUCCCAUCUCAACUCAUGACUCCUCAGUUUAAUUUUUUCUUCUCUCCUCUGCCCAGCUGUGGCAGGAGAGGGUGAGUGAGCAGCUGUGGUGGGUGCCUGGUGUUUGGCCAGACCCACAGAACUGGUUUCCCUUCUUGAUUUCCUUCAGUCCAGGGCUUUUUUCCAUUUCAUCUCUACUUGAAACCUGAAGCACUGCAGCUAUAAAUAUUGG